GAUGAACGCUGGCGGCGUGCCUAAUACAUGCAAGUCGAGCGAACGGACGAGAAGCUUGCUUCUCUGAUGUUAGCGGCGGACGGGUGAGUAACACGUGGAUAACCUACCUAUAAGACUGGGAUAACUUCGGGAAACCGGAGCUACUACCGGAUAAUAUUUUGAACCGCAUGGUUCAAAAGUGAAAGACGGUCUUGCUGUCACUUAUAGAUGGAUCCGCGCUGCAUUAGCUAGUUGGUAAGGUAACGGCUUACCAAGGCAACGAUGCAUAGCCGACCUGAGAGGGUGAUCGGCCACACUGGAACUGAGACACGGUCCAGACUCCUACGGGAGGCAGCAGUAGGGAAUCUUGCGCAAUGGGCGAAAGCCUGACGGAGCAACGCCGCGUGAGUGAUGAAGGUCUUCGGAUCGUAAAACUCUGUUAUUAGGGAAGAACAUAUGUGUAAGUAACUGUGCACAUCUUGACGGUACCUAAUCAGAAAGCCACGGCUAACUACGUG
rnacentral:rRNA from 1 species